UACGUAGGGAGCAAGCGUUGUUCGGAUUUACUGGGCGUAAAGGGCGCGUAGGCGGCGCGGUAAGUCACUUGUGAAAUCUCUGAGCUUAACUCAGAACGGCCAAGUGAUACUGCAGUGCUAGAGUGCAGAAGGGGCAAUCGGAAUUCUUGGUGUAGCGGUGAAAUGCGUAGAGAUCGGGAGGAAGGCCGGUGGCGAAGGCGGCGCUCUGGAACGUUUCUGACGCUGAGGCUCGAAAGCGUGGGGAGCAAACAGG
rnacentral:rRNA from 1 species